rnacentral:rRNA from 1 species
GCUAAAUACUCUCUAGUGACCGAUAGUGAACCAGUACCGUGAGGGAAAGGUGAAAAGCACCCCGGAAGGAGAGUGAAAUAGAACCUGAAACCGUGUGCUUACAAGUAGUCAGAGCCCGUUAAUGGGUGAUGGCGUGCCUUUUGUAGAAUGAACCGGCGAGUUACGAUUUGAUGCAAGGUUAAGCAGUAAAUGUGGAGCCGUAGCGAAAGCGAGUCUGAAUAGGGCGUUUAGUAUUUGGUCGUAGACCCGAAACCAGGUGAUCUACCCUUGGUCAGGUUGAAGUUCAGGUAACACUGAAUGGAGGACCGAACCGACUUACGUUGAAAAGUGAGCGGAUGAACUGAGGGUAGCGGAGAAAUUCCAAUCGAACCUGGAGAUAGCUGGUUCUCUCCGAAAUAGCUUUAGGGCUAGCCUCAAGUGAUGAUUAUUGGAGGUAGAGCACUGUUUGGACGAGGGGCCCCUCUCGGGUUACCGAAUUCAGACAAACUCCGAAUGCCAAUUAAUUUAACUUGGGAGUCAGAACAUGGGUGAUAAGGUCCGUGUUCGAAAGGGAAACAGCCCAGACCACCAGCUAAGGUCCCAAAAUAUAUGUUAAGUGGAAAAGGAUGUGGCGUUGCCCAGACAACUAGGAUGUUGGCUUAGAAGCAGCCAUCAUUUAAAGAGUGCGUAAUAGCUCACUAGUCGAGUGACACUGCGCCGAAAAUGUACCGGGGCUAAACAUAUUACCGAAGCUGUGGAUUGUCCUUUGGACAAUGGUAGGAGAGCGUUCUAAGGGCGUUGAAGCAUGAUCGUAAGGACAUGUGGAGCGCUUAGAAGUGAGAAUGCCGGUGUGAGUAGCGAAAGACGGGUGAGAAUCCCGUCCACCGAUUGACUAAGGUUUCCAGAGGAAGGCUCGUCCGCUCUGGGUUAGUCGGGUCCUAAGCUGAGGCCGACAGGCGUAGGCGAUGGAUAACAGGUUGAUAUUCCUGUACCACCUAUAAUCGUUUUAAUCGAUGGGGGGACGCAGUAGGAUAGGCGAAGCGUGCGAUUGGAUUGCACGUCUAAGCAGUAAGGCUGAGUAUUAGGCAAAUCCGGUACUCGUUAAGGCUGAGC